rnacentral:misc_RNA from 1 species
AAGAAGGAGAGAUCUGAUAAUCGAGAGAGCAAUAAAUUGCACCAACCAAAACUAAGAGACAUGUCUAGAGGAAAAUGGAGUUGGUGAUUUUAAAACUUUCUUUGAUCAUCACUCUAACCAAAACCCACCUGCAUUCAUGGCUGGUGGGAACAAGAACAUACUUGGCACUAAAAUUAUAUACAGAGUCACAAACACCCACACGCACGCACACACAUAUUUAAUCAACACUAUCAUCUCAGACUCUCACUCUAAAGAACAACAUGGCAAUCGAACAAGAAAAAUCUAAAUGGUGAGGAAAAAAAAUAAUAAAAAAAAGGGCAAAAACUUCGGAUCUUUGAAUGGGUUUGAGGAAACUAACAUGUUGAAGGGGGCAUGAGAUUCAACCCUAAAUCAUCCUUUUCCAACACUAGACGAGCUUUACUAGCCUCCAUGUUUCCUGUAUUGGAAGCAUACUCCGGGUGCGUUCUUUUCUUGGAUUGUAAAGGCACGCCAAACAACUUCGUAUUGCAGCCAUUGCUGUUGGAAUCUUCAAGAAUUGUCAAAGAACUCUGUGAAGUGUUACUUGGAGAGUUUAAAACUUGAACUUGAGGAAUUUGCUUAGCGUUAGUAGGAGGGUAAUAUCCAUAAAGCUGGUUUAAAGGCUUUUGUACCAGAGAACCGUUAGAAGCAAAAGGAUUAGCUGUAGAAGUUGGAGCACAAAGAAGCAGGGAAGAGGGGUAGGAAUUGCUAGGAGUGACAGGCUUGACAUGAUUUUGAACAAAGUAGAUAAUAUCAUUGUAAAGUUUUCGCAUGUGUGCAAGCUCAGACACAAGCAUAUUAUUGCUUCUCCUUAGUCUCUCAUUGUCCUCUGAUAAGGCAGUCACCGAGCUGUUAUAUCCGCCACCAUUAAUAACUGAAGCAUUCGCCACUCCUCUCGGCGAAGAGAGAGGCGGCGAGUCACACCAGUUGUUGGGUUGUUCAUCAGAUUCAGAUGGCGAGAUGCUAACUCGGCUUGUAAAUGGAAAGAAACUGGGUCCGUUAACGCCAAGCGGAGAAUGUGGGUGGUGAUGAUGAUGAUGAUUAAUAGCUACUUGUGGCUGAGCUGUUUUUCUUCUAUGAAUUUCACAGAGCAAUUGCUUCUCUCCUUUCUUGAAAAACUCAUUUGCGAACUCCCAUCUGUCAGGUACAAUCUUCCUAAAACCAUAGGUGUUGAGUUGCCUGACAAAGCUAGAGAAGUUAUUAUGCUUAAAAUAGUUAGGGAGGAGAUCUCGGGCGAACUCAGGCGGUCUCCAAACAACGAAAGUUGUAUCAUCUUCACCCCAAGAAACUAUGUGGUCAGUGGUGGGAUCAUCAACCAAUUGGUAAGUUUUUGUAAGGAAUGGAGCUGGGACCGAUUUGUGGGAGUCUAGUGACAGCAAUAUGCCUUCACAGUUGUCUAGCAUAAGCGCCAUUGAAGAUCAAACGCACAACUGCUAUUCUGCGGAAAGAGAAAGAGGGGGGAUGGGGGUCUGAAAGGGAAACAGUGGGGGAGUUUUGGCUUUGAUGGGUGAGAAAUAAGGGUUGGGUGAGACUGGUGACUGGCGAGUGUGAAACUUGGAUGUGGUUGGAUAAAAAUGUUGGAGAGGAAGGGGUGAGUAUGCUACUGUGCACUUUGCG